CCUACGGGGGGCAGCAGGUAAGAAUAUUCCGCAAUGGGGGGAACCCUGACGGAGCGACGCCGCGUGAACGAAGAAGGCCGGAAGGUUGUAAAGUUCUUUUCUGUCCGAGGAAUAAGUGUAGGAGGAAAUGCCUGCAUGGUGACGGUAGGGCAGGAAUAAGCACCGGCUAAUUACGUGCCAGCAGCCGCGGUAACACGUAAGGUGCGAGCGUUGUUCGGAAUUAUUGGGCGUAAAGGGCAUGCAGGCGGGUCGCCAAGCUUGGUAAGAAAUACCGGGGCUCAACUCCGGAGCUAUAUUGAGAACUGGCGAGCUAGAGUUGCCGAAGGGUAUCCGGAAUUCCGCGUGAAGGGGUGAAAUCGGUAGAUAUGCGGAAGAACACCGAUGGCGAAGGCAGGAUACCGGCGGACGACUGACGCUGAGGUGCGAAGGUGCGGGGAGCAAACAGGAUUAGAUACCCGGGUAGUC
rnacentral:rRNA from 1 species